UACAGAGGUCUCAAGCGUUGUUCGGAUUCAUUGGGCGUAAAGGGUGCGUAGGCGGCGCGGUAAGUCGGGUGUGAAAAUCUCGGAGCUUAACUCCGAAAACUGCAUUCGAUACUGCCGUGCUUUGAGGACUGGAGAGGAGACUGGAAUUUACGGUGUAGCGGUGAAAAUGCGUAGAUAUCGUAAGGAAGACCGUGGCGAAGGCGGGGUCUCUGGAC
rnacentral:rRNA from 1 species